GGUUUCUCUGUGUAGCCUUGGCUGUCCUGGAACUCACUCUGUAGACCAGGCUGGCCUCGAACUCAGAAAUCCACCUGCCUCGGCCUCCCAAGUGCUGGGAUUAAAGGCGUGCGCCACCAAUGCCUG
ensembl:miRNA Gm25195 predicted gene, 25195